AAGAGAUGGCGACCGGCGCACGGGUGAGUAACACGUAUCCAACCUGCCGAUAACUCCGGAAUAGCCUUUCGAAAGAAAGAUUAAUACCGGAUGGCAUACGAAUAUCGCAUGAUAUUUUUAUUAAAGAAUUUCGGUUAUCGAUGGGGAUGCGUUCCAUUAGUUUGUUGGCGGGGUAACGGCCCACCAAGACUACGAUGGAUAGGGGUUCUGAGAGGAAGGUCCCCCACAUUGGGACUGAGACACGGUCCAA
rnacentral:rRNA from 1 species